rnacentral:rRNA from 1 species
CGACCGGCGCACGGGUGCGUAACGCGUAUGCAACCUACCUGUAACAGGGGGAUAACACUGAGAAAUCGGUACUAAUACCGCAUAACACUAUGAGAGGCAUCUCUUGUGGUUGAAAGUUUCGGCGGUUACAGAUGGGCAUGCGUUGUAUUAGCUGGUUGGUAAGGUAACGGCUUACCAAGGCGACGAUACAUAGGGGGACUGAGAGGUUAACCCCCCACACUGGUACUGAGACACGGACCAGACUCCUACGGGAGGCAGCAG